rnacentral:rRNA from 1 species
AGAUUGAACGCUAGCGGGAUGCUUUACACAUGCAAGUCGAACGGCAGCGUGGACUUCGGUCUGGCGGCGAGUGGCGAACGGGUGAGUAAUAUAUCGGAACGUGCCCAGUAGCGGGGGAUAACUACGCGAAAGCGUGGCUAAUACCGCAUACGCCCUACGGGGGAAAGGGGGGGAUUCUUCGGAACCUCUCACUAUUGGAGCGGCCGAUAUCAGAUUAGCUAGUUGGUGAGGUAAAGGCUCACCAAGGCGACGAUCUGUAGCUGGUUUGAGAGGACGACCAGCCACACUGGGACUGAGACACGCCCAGACUCCUACGGGAGCAGCAGUGGGGAAUUUUGGACAAGUGGGACGAAAGCCUGAUCCAGCCCAUGCCGCGUGCAGGAUGAAGG